CCUACGGGCUGCUGCAGUGGGGAAUAUUGGACAAUGGGCGAAAGCCUGAUCCAGCCAUGCCGCGUGUGUGAAGAAGGCCUUCGGGUUGUAAAGCACUUUCAGUGGGGAAGAAAGCCUUGGGGCUAAUACCCUCGAGGAAGGACAUCACCCACAGAAGAAGCACCGGCUAACUCCGUGCCAGCAGCCGCGGUAAUACGGAGGGUGCGAGCGUUAAUCGGAAUUACUGGGCGUAAAGCGCGCGUAGGCGGUCUGAUAAGCCGGUUGUGAAAGCCCCGGGCUCAACCUGGGAACGGCAUCCGGAACUGUCAGGCUAGAGUGCAGGAGAGGAGGGUAGAAUUCCCGGUGUAGCGGUGAAAUGCGUAGAGAUCGGGAGGAAUACCAGUGGCGAAGGCGGCCUUCUGGACUGACACUGACGCUGAGGUGCGAAAGCGUGGGUAGCAAACAGGAUUAGAUACCCGAGUAGUC
rnacentral:rRNA from 1 species